UACGAAGGGGGCUAGCGUUGCUCGGAAUCACUGGGCGUAAAGGGCGCGUAGGCGGCCGAUCAAGUCGGAGGUGAAAGCCCAGGGCUCAACCCUGGAAUGGCCUCGAUACUGGUUGGCUCGAGACCGGAAGAGGUAAGUGGAACUGCGAGUGUAGAGGUGAAAUUCGUAGAUAUUCGCAAGAACACCAGUGGCGAAGGCGGCCAACUGGUCCGGUACUGACGCUGAGGUGCGAAAGCGUGGGGAGCAAACAGG
rnacentral:rRNA from 1 species